AACGAACGCUGGCGGUAUGCUUAACACAUGCAAGUCGAACGAGCACGGCCUAGUUUACUAGGUACGGCUAGUGGCAAACGGGUGAGUAACACGUGGAAAUCUACCUAGUAGUACAGAAUAACCAUUGGAAACGAUGGCUAAUACUGUAUACGCCCCGAGGGGGAAAAAUUUAUUGCUAUUAGAUGAGUCCGCGUCAGAUUAGCUUGUUGGUAGGGUAAUGGCCUACCAAGGCUACGAUCUGUAGCUGGUUUGAGAGGAUGAUCAGCCACACUGGAACUGAGACACGGUCCAG
rnacentral:rRNA from 1 species